AAGUCGUAACAAGGUUUCCGUAGGUGAACCUGCGGAAGGAUCAUUUCCAAAUCUCUUUUUUCAUGUGGGUGCGCUGUCCACGCCCUCGCGGUGUGGCUGGCUGCUGCAUGAAAAAAAAACCUUUAUACAAACACCAUUUGUAUUCUAACCACAAAAGUCUAACAUUCUUGUUUCUGUCGGUGAAAGAGUGUAGUAGCGUGCAUCAUCAUCGUGGUCUGGUCGUGUGCCGAUCACACUUGCUGUGUGCACAGCGUGCUUGCUCGCUCGCCGUCCGAAACAACGAAACAAAAUACCUAUACAACUUUUAACAACGGAUCUCUUGGCUCUC
rnacentral:misc_RNA from 1 species